GAAAUGCGAUAAGUAAUGUGAAUUGCAGAAUUCAGUGAAUCAUCGAAUCUUUGAACGCACCUUGCGCUCCUUGGUAUUCCUUGGAGCAUGCCUGUUUGAGUAUCAUGAAAUCUUCAAAGUAAAUCUUUUGUUAACUCAAUUGGUUUCUACUUUGGUAUUGGAGGUCUUUGCAGCUUCACACCUGCUCCUCUUUGUUCAUUAGCUGGAUCUCAGUGUUAUGCUUGGUUCUACUCGGCGUGAUAAGUUAUCUAUCGCUGAGGACACUGUAAAAGGUGGCCAAGGUAAAUGCAGAUGAACCGCUUCUAAUAGUCCAUUGACUUGGACAAUACUUUUAUGAUCUGAUCUCAAAUCAGGUAUGACUACCCGCUGAACUUAAGC
rnacentral:misc_RNA from 1 species